rnacentral:rRNA from 1 species
GACGAACGCUGGCGGCGUGCUUAACACAUGCAAGUCGAACGGAAAGGCCCUGCUUUUGUGGGGUGCUCGAGUGGCGAACGGGUGAGUAACACGUGAGUAACCUGCCCUUGACUUUGGGAUAACUUCAGGAAACUGGGGCUAAUACCGGAUAGGAGCUCCUGCUGCAUGGUGGGGGUUGGAAAGUUUCGGCGGUUGGGGAUGGACUCGCGGCUUAUCAGCUUGUUGGUGGGGUAGUGGCUUACCAAGGCUUUGACGGGUAGCCGGCCUGAGAGGGUGACCGGCCACAUGGGGACUGAGAUACGGCCCAGACUCCUACGGGAGGCAGCAGUGGGGAAUAUUGCACAAUGGGCGGAAGCCUGAUGCAGCAACGCCGCGUGCGGGAUGACGGCCUUCGGGAUGUAAACCGCUUUCGCCUGUGACGAAGCGUGAGUGACGGUAAUGGGUAAAGAAGCACCGGCUAACUACGUG